UACGUAGGGGGCAAGCGUUGUCCGGAAUCAUUGGGCGUAAAGCGCACGUAGGCGGCCCUGUAAGUCCGUUGUGAAAGUCAAAGGCUCAACCUUUGAAUGCCGAUGGAUACUGCAGGGCUAGAGUCCGGAAGAGGCGAGUGGAAUUCCUGGUGUAGCGGUGGAAUGCGCAGAUAUCUGGAGGAACACCGGUGGCGAAGGCGACGUCCUGGACCGGUAUUGACGCUGAGGCGCGAAAGCCAGGGGAGCAAACGGG
rnacentral:rRNA from 1 species